rnacentral:rRNA from 1 species
GCCAGACUCCUACGGGAGGCAGCAGUGGGGAAUAUUGCACAAUGGGGGAAACCCUGAUGCAGCGACGCCGCGUGAGUGAAGAAGUAUUUCGGUAUGUAAAGCUCUAUCAGCAGGGAAGAGAAUGACGGUACCUGACUAAGAAGCCCCGGCUAACUACGUGCCAGCAGCCGCGGUAAUACGUAGGGGGCGAGCGUUAUCCGGAUUUACUGGGUGUAAAGGGAGCGUAGACGGCUGGUCAAGUCUGAAGUGAAAGCCCGGGGCUUAACCCCGGAACGGCUUUGGAAACUGAGCAGCUAGAGUGCUGGAGAGGUAAGCGGAAUUCCUAGUGUAGCGGUGAAAUGCGUAGAUAUUAGGGGGAACACCAGUGGCGAAGGCGGCUUACUGGACAGUAACUGACGUUGAGGCUCGAAAGCGUGGGGAGCAAACAGGAUUAGAUACCCGGGUACAC